rnacentral:rRNA from 1 species
UACGGGGGGGGCAAGCGUUGUUCGGAAUUACUGGGCGUAAAGGGCUCGUAGGUGGCCAACCCAGUCAGACGUGAAAUCCCUGGGCUCAACCCAGGAACUGCGUCCGAUACUGGUUGGCUUGAAUCCGGGAGAGGGAUGCGGAAUUCCAGGUGUAGCGGUGAAAUGCGUAGAUAUCUGGAGGAACACCGGUGGCGAAGGCGGCAUCCUGGACCGGCAUUGACGCUGAGGCGCGAAAGCCAGGGGAGCAAACGGG